rnacentral:rRNA from 1 species
UUGUAAACCUCUGUCUUUAGGGACGAAAAAAUGACGGUACCUAAGGAGGAAGCCACGGCUAACUACGUGCCAGCAGCCGCGGUAAUACGUAGGUCCCGAGCGUUGUCCGGAUUUAUUGGGCGUAAAGCGAGCGCAGGCGGUUUGAUAAGUCUGAAGUUAAAGGCUGUGGCUCAACCAUAGUUCGCUUUGGAAACUGUCAAACUUGAGUGCAGAAGGGGAGAGUGGAAUUCCAUGUGUAGCGGUGAAAUGCGUAGAUAUAUGGAGGAACACCGGUGGCGAAAGCGGCUCUCUGGUCUGUAACUGACGCUGAGGCUCGAAAGCGUGGGGAGCGAACAGGAUUAGAUACCCUGGUAGUCCACGCCGUAAACGAUGAGUGC